AUGGCCGACAACAUGGUCCCCGGAGAGAGCGAGGUGGUGUUCGUCGACUUCUGGGCCAACCUGUUUGGCAUGCGGGUUCUGAUAGCCCUGCGCGAGUUAGGCAUGUCGUUCGAGUACAUCGAGGAGGACCUCAGCAUCCGCAAGAAGAGUGACCUGGUGCUGCGCAUGAACCCGGUGUACCGGAUGGUGCCCAUCCUCAUCCACCGUGGCCAUCCCAUCUGCAACUCCAUCAACAUCCUUGAGUACAUCGACGAGGUCUGGGGUCACCGUCACGCCGAAGCAGGUGGAACACAGUUGCUCCCUGCCGACCCGCUGGAGAGGGCUUCCGCCCGGUUCUGGGCCGAUUUCGUUGACCACAAGGUGUUCAACACGGAGAUGAGGCUGUUCAAGAGCAAAGGCGAUGAUGAGAAAGAAGCCGCAAAGGGGGAGCUAAUCCGCCAACUCAGGCAACUCGAGGGGGCGCUUGGAGACAAGAACUUCUUCUCCGGCGAUGAGUUCGGAUUUCUGGACAUUGUCGUCAUCCCGUUAUCGAGCAUGUUUCGAGCGUAUGAACAACAAGGAACGUUUGAUCUUGAGGUGGAGUGUCCCAAGCUGAUGCGGUGGGAGAAGCGGUGCAAGGAGAGGGAGAGCGUCAGGAGUACUCUUCCAGAUGAGGAGGAGGUGUACAGGAUGCACAAGAAGUGGUACGGCAUAGAGUGA
rnacentral:rRNA from 1 species